UGAGGAAGGGGAAUUCGGAAAAAUCUCUUCAGAGAUGAUAGUUUAGAGUUCCAAAGCAGUUCCAGUAUCUAGACUUGAUUGGAGAAAUCAUUGCUUCCACACUUGGUGCACCGCAUCAACCUGUCGAGUGCCCUGAGUUUUACUCAACAAUCCAAAAGAAAAGUCCUUAAAACAGAAAAAGGCUGCAACUCACUAAAUCUGAGGACUUGGUGCACCGCAUCAACCUGUCGAGUGCCCUGAGUUUUACUCAACAAUCCAAAAGAAAAGUCCUUAAAACGGAAAAAGGCUGCAACUCACUAAAUCUGAG
rnacentral:lncRNA from 1 species